rnacentral:rRNA from 1 species
CCUACGGGGGGCAGCAGUGGGGAAUAUUGGACAAUGGGGGGAACCCUGAUCCAGCCAUGCCGCGUGUGUGAAGAAGGCCCUCGGGUUGUAAAGCACUUUCAGUGAGGAAGAACGCCUGGUGGUUAAUACCCAUCAGGAAAGACAUCACUCACAGAAGAAGCACCGGCUAACUCCGUGCCAGCAGCCGCGGUAAUACGGAGGGUGCGAGCGUUAAUCGGAAUUACUGGGCGUAAAGCGCGCGUAGGUGGCUUGAUAAGCCGGUUGUGAAAGCCCCGGGCUCAACCUGGGAACGGCAUCCGGAACUGUCAAGCUAGAGUGCAGGAGAGGAAGGUAGAAUUCCCGGUGUAGCGGUGAAAUGCGUAGAGAUCGGGAGGAAUACCAGUGGCGAAGGCGGCCUUCUGGACUGACACUGACACUGAGGUGCCAAAGCGUGGGUAGCAAACAGGAUUAGAUACCCGUGUAGUC